AGUUUGACCAGUUUUUGUUCAGUUGUAAUGCCUCAAGAUUUUGGAAAGAUGUACAUGUUUUCUGAACUAGAAACACCAUGAAAAGGAAUAAACACAAGUGGUAGGAACACAAGUGAUUAACUUACAUUCAGUACCGAGCUUACUAAAAAGCAGGGAGUCCACAGGAAUAGAAUUUCUAAAGUUAAUGUUCUUUGGAGAAGUUACCAAAGACUGAAUAAACUUUUUCUCUAAAACUAUAUUUUGUGUGUGCCUGUGACUGUGCAUUUGCAUGCCUGUGUGCAUUCAUUUAUGAGUGUGUGUGUGUGUGUGUGUGUGUGUGUGUGUGUGUGUGUAUGUGUGUGUGGCCAAAGAACAACUUAGGAAUUUGUUCGCACCUUGCACUGUGUGAGGGGUUGAACUCAGGUCAUCUGGCUUAGAUGCAAGUAUCUUUACCCACUGAACCAUCUUGCUUGUCCCAGGGGAAUCUGAUACUGAACAUAUUGGAUGUUUAGGAAGUUUUCUGGAAUUUUGAAAAGAUACACUGUAAGUAUUUUCUGAAAAGAAAACUAAUAAAGGUAUUUGUUGAUACAGGAAAUAAAAAUGAAGACCAUUUUGUAAAAUCAAGGAGUUUGAAAAACUCAUAGAAUGAGUUACAUGAUUUAAAAAGCCAUUAGCAGGCUGGAGGAGUGAGCCUGAUGUCUUGUUUGGAUAUGCAGACGCCAUGUAGAAAGCGGGACAGUGUAGUAUGUGAGUAAUCCCAACAUGUCUCUACCAGCAGGUGUGGGGAGACAGAACUUUUAAAAGCAACCGCUGGUUGCUGUGGUGUUUAUAUCUUCAAUAAAAGGUGUGCAGCUAAGAAAUAAGGGUUUUGCCCCAUCUCAUUUUUCCAUAUAAUUUAAAAAUACUGCGGUAGGUUCCCCCUUCUAAGUUUAUGAGAUCAAUGAUAAAAGCUGAAUCAAUCUCUCUCUCUCUCUCUGUCUGUCUGUCUCAAGAGAUUUAUUUAUUUCAUGUAUGUGAGUACACUGUCAUUGUCUUUAGACACACCAGGAGAGGACAUCGGAUCCCCAUUACAGAUGGCUGUGAGCCACCAUGUAGUUGCUGGGAAUUGAACUCAGGACCUCUAGGAAGAGCAGUCAGUGUGGGAAUCACUUGUCUACCUACUUCCCACGGACAGAAUCAACAUUGCCCAGAAUUUCCCCAGUCUUAGCUAACUGUACUGUGAGAUGAAUAUUUGCUUAAUUGGGAAAAUGAAGGCUCUUAAAGUACAGUGCCUUGGGUUACAGUUGCAUUUAUUACUUUCCAUAAUUGAAGUUUUCUAUAAACUUUCCAUAGGUUAUUACUGCUAGCCUCUAUACUGACAAAUGUUGGCAGUUGCCCCUUAGCCACUUCAGAUUCUGCCUGUACUAAAGUUGUCAACAACUGUUGUAGGUUAAAAGUACAGGUUCCUCCCACCUCAGCUUGGACCUAUCUCUCUUUUUUUCUUUUUUUCUUUUUGAGACAGGGUUUCUCUGUGUAGCCCUGGCUGUCUUGGAACUCACUUUGUAGACCAGGCUGGCCUCGAACUCAGAAAUCCGCCUGCCUCUGCCUCCCAAGUGCUGCGAUUAAAGGCGUGCGCCACCACGUCUGGCUUUUAUCUCAUAUUUUUAAUCCAUUCUUUGAGUAAAUCAUUUUAAAAACAGAAUUCUUUAUUCUCUCAGGGUUAGUUACUCGUUUUUGAACAUGAGUUUUUUUUUCUUUAAGUAAUGUCUUCAUUUGCAAUGAAUUUAUCUCGUUCUAAAAUUUGCAUACUUCCAGUAGGGUUCUUUUGGUUGUAGCAUUUGGCCAGUUUUAGUGAAUGUUACCCCUGGAGAAUGUUUACUUUUAUGCAAUUGCUUGCUUUUAUACAAUGUUUGCUUUUAUGCAAGCCCCAAUUUUUGGCUACCAAUAAAGUAGAAGAUAUUCUAAGGU
rnacentral:lncRNA from 1 species